rfam:Oryctes borbonicus contig642, whole genome shotgun sequence.
UAUUACUAUGAUGAUAACAUAGUUCAAUUGAAUGUACUUUGAUAUAAUUACUAUAAUUUUAAUGUCUUUCGCUCCUAUCUGAUAGUUUUA